rnacentral:rRNA from 1 species
UACGUAGGGCGCAAGCGUUGUCCGGAAUUAUUGGGCGUAAAGAGCUCGUAGGCGGUCUGUUACGUCCGCUGUGAAAACCCAGGGCUUAACCCUGGGCUUGCAGUGGAUACGGGUAGACUAGAGGCAGGUAGGGGAGAAUGGAAUUCCCGGUGUAGCGGUGGAAUGCGCAGAUAUCAGGAGGAACACCAAUGGCGAAGGCAGAUCUCUGGGCCGUAACUGACGCUGAGGAGCGAAAGCAUGGGGAGCGAACAGG